AUAUUAUUAAGCGGAGGAAAAGAAAUCAACUGAGAUUUCCUUAGUAGUGGCGGACGAACAGGAAAGAGUCCAAGCUGUAAAUCUACGUGCUUCGUGCGUAGAGUUGUAAGCUCAAGAUUUAGCUCUAAAGGCCGAACUGGCGCAUAAGUGGCCUGGAACGGCCCGGCAAAGAGGGUGAUACCCCCGUAUUUGGCGCUAGGGAUGUUGAAAGACUGGAUCACAGAGUCGGGUAGCUUGGGAUUGCUGCCUUAAUUGGGAGAUAUACUUCUUCUAAGACUAAAUAUAGAUGGGAGACCGAUAGCGCACAAGUA
rnacentral:rRNA from 1 species